rnacentral:lncRNA from 1 species
AUUCGUUUGAGCUAACCUAUUUAGAUCAAUUGACCUAUUGAUAUCUAAGGUAAGUGAUUGAGAGGUGACUAUUUAAUUGAUUUUGUUAGUUGAUCUGAUCAACUUAUUGAUGUCUAAAGAAAGCAACGGGGGGAUCCCCAUCGAUCUUCACUUAUCUGACCAAUUUGGAAGAUUGAAUCUUGAAUAAGGUUACUUAGCAUUUUAGUUUAAUCCAUACCAAUUAGAUCAAUCAUAUGAUGACUGAUUAGAUGAGAUCUAAACCUAAACUUUUUCAUAAAUAUUAAGUCCAUAGGUCUUCCACUAUUGUAGAUGUAUGGGCAUGCUACUGGUGUUGAUUGUUCUCAGCUGGUUAUAGUGGUUUAGUUGCAUCAGAAAUAUGUAAGUACUCUAUUAGCAAAGAGUUACUCCAGGGUAAGGAUGGGGUUGGACCCAAUUAUUGAGAAUUAUAUCUUAAAACUAAUCGUGUGACGAUUGAGUUCAUCAUUGUAUAUAAAUUAUUGAUUAUUGAAUAAUAGUUAUUUUGAUAUUUUUUAUCACAAAGUGAUAUCUUCUUUGAAGUCUUGUACUGUGAUGAAGUCUCUAGAACUAUGCUAG